rnacentral:tRNA from 1 species
GGUUGUGGCUCAGCGGUAGAGCGCUUGCCUAGUACCUGAGAGGCGCUGGGUUCGAUCCUCAGCACCAACCA